rnacentral:rRNA from 2 species
CUAACCUGCCCACUGAUUUAUUAAAGGGCCGCGGUAUACUGACUGUGCAAAGGUAGCAUAAUCAUUUGUCUUUUAAUUGAAGGCUGGAAUGAAUGGUUGAAUGAAGUAUUAACUGUCUCAUUUUAAAAAAUAUAAAAAAUUAAUUUUUUAGUCAAAAAGCUGAAAUAUAUUUAGAGGACGAGAAGACCCUAUAGAUCUUUAUAAUUUUAUUUAAUAAGUGAUUAUAGAAUAAUAAACAAUUUAUUAAGUUAAAUUAUUUGGUUGGGGUGACAGGAAAAUUAAAUAAACUAUUUUUAUAAUAAAACAAUGAUUUUUGAAUAAUUGAUCCUUUAUUAUUGAUUAAAAAGUUAAGUUACCUUAGGGAUAACAGCGUAAUUUUUUUAGAGAGUUCAUAUCGAUAAAAAAGAUUGCGACCUCGAUGUUGAAUUAAAGAU